AUUUCCAAAUCUAUUGAUGAAACAAAUCCACAAUCUACGCCAGAUAUUUUCAACUGCAAAAAAUAUUCGAUAUUUGUGGUGAUCUUUUAUUGAAUUAGAAAUUAUCGGAUACAGCACUUGAAGUGCUGCCAAAUUUUGAUAAAUGGGUACCACUUACAUACAUAAAUCUAAUUGGACAUUUCAACUUGUUCUUGGGAUUUAUGAGUAUAAACAAAACAUCUAACAGGAAAAUUUUGUGUGAAAAACAAGAAAAAUAGUUUUAUCCUUGUAUAAAUAUAAUUGAAAAAUAUAGAAGAAAAUCUGGAGCUGAUACGGAAGAAGCGAAACCGUGGUAAAAUGAAGUUAGAAGCAGUGAACGGGAACCUAGUGUCGCUGACAGUGAAGGUACCGCCAGCGGCUGAAAUAGAUAUUCCAAUGGGCUCAGAGGAGGCGGAUGAAGAAACACACCCACAGCUUACAUUAUCUUCCCACGAACAACAAAAACGUACAAAAGAAGAUAGUUGCGGAGACGAGGGCGAAAAGUCAAUAGGUGUUGCCGGUAAGAAAAAAGGCACAAGAAAAAAACGCUCAACUAACUGGGAGGAAGCCGAACGGUGUCUCUUAGUGGAGGUCAUCAAACCGAAAGUGGAAUAUGUUGAAAAUCGCAACGUUGACGCCAAAAGCAUAAAGUCGAAACGCCUUGCCUGGAUGCAUAUCACUAAACAAUUCAACGCACUAAAUUUUCGACACCGCUCUCUAGAACAAAUUCAGGUGCAAUGGCGAAGUAUGAAGAAUACCGCAAAACGCGAAUUUCAGCAAAAGACUCCCAAUGCAGGGACAUUGGAGGGCUUGUCCAUGGUAGAGUUCAUGGAGGAAAUGCAAAAGGAAACAACCAACUCACGCCCUCAUGCACGCAGUAAUGGUGUAAUUAUCAAGAAAGAAUUACUAAGUAUCGAUGAUGAAGAUACGCCACUAGCGGCUCUACCCACAACGACCACCACUAGUGACGAUACCCUGCAAGCAUCGACGAUGGCAUUACCUUCCCCACCACAAUCGGCUGAGUCACAGCCUGAAGUUACACUGAAGGAGAAACCGCAACUGAACACUGCAGUCAUACGCCAAAGAAAAAAACCCUUGCAAAAGAAAAAGUUGCAAACCAGCGACAAUGCUAGCACCGAUGGUGGCAGUAAAGCGAAAAAGCAACAACGUUUAAGUAUCACACAAAACGAAGCUGACAUACUCGGCAACAGUGAAAGUGAUGCACAAACUUCCAGAGCGCUCUUGUGUGCCGAUGACAUAAUCUAUAAAAUUCUUCCAACAGAUGAAAAAUACAAGAAACAAAUUUUCGAUCUGAUAAAACGUUCUCACCUGGCUGAGAUUGAACAUGCACGCAUCGAACAUGAGCAAAGACUCAGUUUCGAAACAAUGCAUCAGGAGCUGAAACUCAAUUAUUAUCGUAAAAACGAAGAGUUGAAACUGUGUCAAAUGCGUGAAGAGCACAAUGCACGUAUGCGUCAAAACGAACAAGAACACAAAGCACGUAUGCGUGCGUAUAUGUUGAACUCGCGCAACACUCCGCCAAAAUGUACAAAAAAUAAAGUUGGGUGUGAAGCAUAUGAUAAAGUCGAUGAUAACUCGAAUGCAUCCAAACCCACAUCCGAAGAUUGAAAUUGCAUCUAUUAAGAGGGUUAAGUUAAAACAGUAUUUUAAAGAUUAGCAAAAUAAUGUUAUGUUCUAGAAAAUAUGAAUAUUUUACUAUAUACAAUAGAUUAAACGCUGCCAUCAAUUUAGUGGUAUUAUUAUAGUUAUUACUAUUUUUUUUUAUUAUUAUAUUAUUUUAUUAUGAUUUCAAAAAAUAAUUGGUAAACACUCGCAACAAGGUUGUGCAAUUGAAAGUAGUUGGUAUUCAAUGAAAUUUUCGAACAAAAGAAAUAAUACUCGAAUUAUUUAUGUAUCGCAUGCUAUUUUUAUAUAAUUUUGGUUUAAGUUAAGUUGGUUCAUGUUACUUUUAACUAUGUUUUCCUUGUGCUAAUUACGUAAGCGGUUGGCGGAAGGAUUUAUAAUCGACUAUUUGGUGUAUGUUUAUAUCACUACAACAACAACUACACCCAAUUAAUUCUCAUUGAAAUUAUAAUUAGUUUUAAUUUUACAUCUUCCUUUCCGUGCAAUCGCCGUCAGUUACAUAUUACAUUGAAUCUAAUGAAUAUAUGUUACAUUUUAUACCAGUAUUUAGACGCAUGAAUUUUUACACAAAUUAUAGUAAAUUUAGUCGUAAUGAGUUUAUCAUUAACAACAACUGCAAAUAAACGAGUUUAAACAUUUCUAUGUUGGUUUAGUGCAAUUGCAGUGCUUUCUAUUUGAAACUAGCCAAUGAAGUCCACGUUAAUGAAAUGUAUUUGAGGAAUUCCACGAAGCUACUACUAUACUAUGGCUCUUAAUUACUUAAUGAAAGUCAUUUCACUUUGCUUAUUUUUAGCUGCAGUCAAUGCAAAUAAAUAACAAUGAUAUGUAUAUUUAGACUACAUACAUACAAGCCUAUGUUUAUGUAUGUAUAUUUGCAUUGAGUAAUAAUAGUAACCAGCUUUGCAGUUAGCAGGAAAAGGGUCUGCCUGCAGCUUCCAAACUAACAAAAAACAAAAGAGCAUUUGUAUGCAUUUACGAUUAGAAUCUAUGAAGGCAUGAGCGAUGAGUAAAAAUGUGCAGAAAUAGUCAACAAAAGUGGCAAUUACAGACAAACUAAAGCAAGUUUUUUUCUACCAGGAGCAG